UACGAAGGGGGCUAGCGUUGUUCGGAAUUACUGGGCGUAAAGCGUGCGCAGGCGGUUCGUUGUGUCGGCGGUGAAAGCCCCGGGCUUAACCUGGGAAUGGCCGUCGAAACUGGCGAACUGGAGUGUGGCAGAGGGGGGUGGAAUUCCGCGUGUAGCAGUGAAAUGCGUAGAGAUGCGGAGGAACACCGAUGGCGAAGGCAGCCCCCUGGGCUGACACUGACGCUCAGGCACGAAAGCGUGGGGAGCAAACAGG
rnacentral:rRNA from 1 species